UGGGGAAUCUUAGACAAUGGGCGCAAGCCUGAUCUAGCCAUGCCGCGUGAGCGAUGAAGGCCUUAGGGUUGUAAAGCUCUUUCGUGGGGGAAGAUAAUGACUGUACCCCAAGAAGAAGCCCCGGCUAACUCCGUGCCAGCAGCCGCGGUAAUACGGAGGGGGCUAGCGUUGUUCGGAAUUACUGGGCGUAAAGCGCACGUAGGCGGACUGGAAAGUCAGGGGUGAAAUCCCGGGGCUCAACCCCGGAACU
rnacentral:rRNA from 1 species